rnacentral:lncRNA from 1 species
UCAAUCACCAACAAAACGGCGAUGACGCAGUUUUAUUGUGGGUGUCGACUUACAGUGAAUUCGAAAUUCAGAGACCAAUUGCAGCUGAUGCUGAACAUUGCAGCCUUGCAGCACACUGUCGCUAGGUCACGUGCUAUUUUGAUUAUUUAAAUUUAAAUGGGAAAAACCGCGUACCCUGCUAACGCAGGGUAGCUUCAGCUUAUGUCCUCCAGCCGCCAGGUGGUGCGAGCGAAUGUUUUAGAACAUGUCCGCCUUCCGCCAUUUAUUUCUGUGCCACUGACUGAUAAUGUCUUCCAAAUUCAUCGUUGGGUAAUACGGCGUAUACAUUACCAGUCAGCUGAAUCAAUUGUAUUGAUGUUGGUAGGUCACUAACCCCAGAGUGUGGACACACAUUGUUAUUCCCAACAUGUUUCUACAAGUAAAGACAAAGAAAGCUAUGGGAACAUAAUCGGAUACCCACAUAAAUCAAGGCCAUGGGUAAUAAUCAUCAGGUUUAUUGCAGCAACUCGAAGAAUUCACAUGAAAAGAUAUUCAACAUCACUAACCGUUUGAUGCCAAACUCUAACUCAAAGACUGAUUCUUUUCCCAGUUUCCUCACAAAAUUGUAAGUUGUAUUAUUUGUCUUGACCCUCCAUACUUGCUGUUAGUAUUAUAGAUUUUUAAUGUUAAAUUAGUUAAGGAGAACGAUCCGAAAUUGCUAACUAAAGAAUUUGUGUGUUGUGUCAUAGGGAAAGCUGCUGGAGUAAUCUAUCUAGUGUCCAUCCCCACUUGAUUCAUUUCGUGCCAGCUGAUUGAAAGGCGUGACGAAUUCAAAUUUAGCUGCUGCGCCUGCGUGCUGUCUGCAAGUAAGCAAUUCAAUUGGCUGUCGCUAGGUGGCGCGAGUAUCUUCAGGGGGAAAUUUGGCCAUUUUGUUCCUUGACGCAGCCGAAGUGGGAUGCCGGUCGUGACGUUACGCAUGUGCAAAGCGAUGAUUUCAAUGCCACUUCGGACUUGAGUGCCUGUUCAUUUUGCCGAAAUGUUGUGUCUCGUGUGUCUUGCUGCCUGUACCCAGUCGUACGUCUCGUCCCAUGCAAAAGUAAAAGUCUGCUGUUGGUUACUUGUUGCAGCCAGAUAGUGAAAGGUGUGAAGACAAUUAAGUAAAUUAUUGUAUGCAGCGGGUUGUUGCAGUGUUAUCCGUUGUUCAGUUUUAGUAUCCCGAAGUAACAUGAAGCAGCCUGAAGCUGCUAGAGAUAUCCAGGUUAUUGACAUUGAAAUUUUUCUCUGUUCUGUGUUUUUUUUUUUUUUUUUGCUCUACCAUCAAAUUCCUAUGUUGCUGUUUUGAAAUCGUUUCAUCUGUCGGCUUUGGCGUUUUUACUUGUGCACAUGUGCAGUAUACGAUUGAGGCACCUUGUCCUAUGACAGGUGUGAAUCAGUUGCUAAAAAAAUUCUAGCUUUCUGCAUCAACAAAAUAUUACAACGCAUUAAUGCAAUCAACAAAAUAUCAAAAAACAUCAACAAAAUAUUUAAUAGUACAUGUAGGGGUUGGGAAAGUACCCACUAGUUGGUAGUUAUAAUUUAAAUUUGUUUAUUUGGUAGUUAUAAUUUUAAUUUUUAUGUUUAAAAUAAAUAAAAUAAUUUUUA